rnacentral:rRNA from 1 species
UACGGGGGGAGCAAGCGUUGUUCGGAUUUACUGGGCGUAAAGGGCGCGGUAGGCGGUCGUGACAAGUCACUUGUGAAAUCUCCGGGCUUAACUCGGAACGGUCAAGUGAUACUGUCGGACUAGAGUACAGAAGGGGCAACUGGAAUUCUCGGUGUAGCGGUGAAAUGCGUAGAUAUCGAGAGGAACACCUGCGGCGAAGGCGGGUUGCUGGGCUGAUACUGACGCUGAGGCGCGAAAGCCAGGGGAGCGAACGGG